GUGAAAAUCUGAAAGUGUAAACAAGGAGCAAAAUGUAUAAUAGAUAUUUAGAAUAGAUAUGGAUGUUUGUUUAUAGAUUAGAUACAAAAAAAGUGUGCCACUGUUCACUGGAAAGUCUCCUUAAUUCCAAUACCGCUUCUUAGAUAUCCAAAUGUAGAAGGGCCCAUUUGCUGCAUAUGAUUGUAUCUUUUAAAUUUCUGUUCAAUUCUUGUAAAACCAGGCUAUCAAUGUUAUUAAUGUCUAGGAAGCUGGAAUUCAAAUUUUGAAGUUUCAAUAAUAUCAAACAUUUCUAGUACUCCUUUGCUUUCAAGUUGACCACCUGGAUAUGUAAUGUGGACUGCAUGGACUGUAAUAGUGGUUUGUUUCCAUAGAAGUGAAUGACAUGAUAUUGCCUACAGUUCACCUGAUCAGUAAUUUUUAAAUUUUUCUCUUACAAAAAGACAACUCAGAAAAAUAAAUAUAAAAUCGAGUCAGGCAGAAUGCGCUGAAUCAGCCCGGUGCAGACAGGCAGGUCUGCAAACGCCAUAGCAAUGCCCCAAGUUGCAUGGAAUGCUCCAAAUCAGCCUGUGCCCUGGCAGCAAUCCACUGGACACCCCCCACCCCGCUCCUCUGUACAGCCACCUGGUUCCACACUACAAAGACAGAGAGGACACCAGACCACCAGACCACUGUACUGGGAGAGACCAGGAUUGGACAUUGGUGGUGUUUGGCCCCUCUGGACUCCAGUCUGGAGAAGGAGAGGUCACCCUGAUGGUAUUCUGGGGCUCCAGGUAGACUGA
rnacentral:lncRNA from 1 species